CCUACGGGUGGCUGCAGUAAGGAAUAUUGGUCAAUGGACGAAAGUCUGAACCAGCCAUGCCGCGUGGAGGAUGAAGGUCCUCUGGAUUGUAAACUUCUUUUAUAUGGGACGAAAAAAGGCCUUUCCAGGUCGUCUGACGGUACCAUAUGAAUAAGCACCGGCUAACUCCGUGCCCGCAGCCGCGGUAAUACGGAGGGUGCAAGCGUUAUCCGGUUUCAGGGGGUUUAAAGGGGUCGGUAAUGGAGUGGUAAAAUCCCCGAGCUUAACUUGGGAACUGCCAUUGAUACUAUCAGUCUUGAAUACCGUGGAGGUCAGCGGAAUAUGUCAUGUAGCGGUGAAAUGCUUAGAGAUGACAUAGAACACCAAUUGCGAAGGCAGCUGGCUACACGAGUAUUGACACUGAGGCACGAAAGCGUGGGGAUCAAACAGGAUUAGAUACCCGGGUAGUC
rnacentral:rRNA from 1 species